AUUGAACGCUGGCGGAAUGCUUUACACAUGCAAGUCGGAACGGUAGAGGGGCAACCCCUUGAGAGUGGCGAACGGGUGAGUAAUAUAUCGGAACGUGCCCAGUCGUGGGGAUAACGUAGCGAAAGUUACGCUAAUACCGCAUACGAUCUAAGGAUGAAAGCGGGGGAUCGCAAGACCUCGCGCGAUUGGAGCGGCCGAUAUCAGAUUAGGUAGUUGGUGAGGUAAAGGCUCACCAAGCCAACGAUCUGUAGCUGGUCU
rnacentral:rRNA from 1 species